UCGAAACCUUAUGGUUCCUUUGAUCUUGAGAAACCAGCAUGCUUGCAAGACUUYAUGACUUUGUCAUGGAGAGCUGGGAGUAUCAGCCCACUAUUUCAAUCCGAUUGGAGGUGUCUACGUAUAACAUGAGCCGUUUACGGAUGGCGUCCGUGAUGACUGUUAUACAAAGUUCGCGCAUUCAUUUGUGCUGAGCUUUAGACUUGAUGAGUACUGCAUGAGUGCCGCCUCCGAUGUUUGUACUGGUGGUUAGCGUCAAUAGGUGUGCAGGCUAACGUGCCAGCCGCCUUUUGCAACACCUGCUUGCAGGAAAUCUUAAUGAUUCGCUUUGCGAGCGCCAGUGCAGACGAAAACAUUUUACAUUUAACGUUUGAAGAAUCGUGACUCUUUACAAAGUCACAAUCGACUAGCUUCAGCGAUGGAUCGGUCGAUUCGCGUAUCGAUGAAAAACGCAGCUAGCUGCGUUAUUUACCACGAAUUGCAGACGCUUAGAGUGGUGAAAUUUUGAACGCAUAGCGCCGUUGGGUUUUCCCUUCGGCACGUCUGGUUCAGGGUUGUUUUCAAUAUACUACAGUGUGGCCUGUACAUAACACUGUUUGUCGAAUGACGCUUGCGCACCUCGUGCGCGAUCCUCAUUCUAGAUGAGAAUUAUAUUGCAACAUGUACUUUGUGGAUGCCUGAUUCCACUUAGUACACAGAUGUCAUGAUCGACUUGUCACUGCCAAUAGUAUUCAUUGAUGAAGAAAAUACAUGGCGGGGCUUGUAUGACAAUGUCGAGUCUAUGUCAUUUGCAA
rnacentral:misc_RNA from 1 species